CUAUGUAAUAGUGGGGACAUUUUGUGAAGGUUAGCAACAUGCAUCGAGGAGAUGAUAGCACACUAAACAUGCCAGCCUGUGAUCAAGAUACCCCUUUCAAAGAAGUGGUAAUUCUUCUUCUCAAAUUCCCCUAUCUUGACAGCAAAGAGACAUCCUUCCUGAAGGCCACCUUUCUCUUAGGAGCCAGAAGUGUUUACCAGUCCUGCAGUGCCUUACCUGUGAAUAGCAGCCUUGACACCGUACAGUAAUAUGCAUGCUGUGAGAUAUUCAAGGAAGAAUAAGCAAAUUACAGAGAAUGGAAAGAAGUGGGAAAACCCUCCUGCUGCUGGCUGUGGAAUCAGUAGCUGGACAGAGCUCACUGGAGUGAUGGCUCCCUGGGUUCUGAGGAAAUAUUAUCGGAAACACAACAUAUUUUCGGCCAGUGGCCUGGGAGAAGGAUUAGGGGAGGUCAAGGGAAAAUACUGUGGUUGAGAAGGGCUGGAAAAAAAAAGGGAAAUGAAAAUCAAAGGAGACCUCAAUGUUUCUGUUGGUUUGUUUACAAAACCUAAAGAUUAGGAACCAGACUUCAUUUCUUAAUUGAAAAAAAUAAAAAUGAUUCAUAAGACUGAAAAAAAUAAAUCCCUUUAAAAAGAAGUACCUUACAACAAUAUGUCUGAUUAGACUGGUUGUCUGAAUAGAAAUAGAAGUUAUACAAAGAAUCAGCAGAGCAGCAUUGUUGACAGAGCCAGAGAGAGUCGAUUUCUCACCAGGUAUCUGCUUCCUCUGGCUGAAGGACUUUGGAUUGAUUAUAAUGGGUUAUGAAAAUGUGUGGCAUGUUCAUUACUGUCAAAGGUAGUGGAUAACUUUCAAACAGUGCAGAUAUUUUAUUUAUGAGUGAAUAAAAUAAUUUUAUAGCUGCCUAUCACUGAUUUCCAGUGCUGGAAUGGAGUAAAAUCAAUUCAAAGUUAAAGCAAAGAGAAAGAUUUGAGGGAGAGUGAAGGAUUUUCAUAACCUUGUUUUGCUUUCUUUGUUAUUAUUUUUGUUCUUUGGUUUGUUUCUGACUUAGAUUUCUCUGUUUUUAUUUGCGAUUUAAAGGCAAUCUGAAGUGUAACAAAUAG